GGUGAGUAACGCGUGGGAACGUACCCUUUACUACGGAACAACUCCGGGAAACUGGAGCUAAUACCGUAUGUGCCCUUUGGGGGAAAGAUUUAUCGGUAAAGGAUCGGCCCGCGUUGGAUUAGCUAGUUGGUGGGGUAAAGGCCUACCAAGGCGACGAUCCAUAGCUGGUCUGAGAGGAUGAUCAGCCACAUUGGGACUGAGACACGGCCCAAACUCCUACGGGAGGCAGCAGUGGGGAAUAUUGGACAAUGGGCGCAAGCCUGAUCCAGCCAUGCCGCGUGAAUGAUGAAGGCCUUAGGGUUGUAAAGUUCUUUCACCGGAGAAGAUAAUGACGGUAUCCGGAGAAGAAGCCCCGGCUAACUUCGUGCCAGCAGCCGCGGUAAUACGUAGGGUGCAAGCGUUAAUCGGAAUUACUGGGCGUAAAGCGUGCGCAGGCGGUUUUGUAAGACAGAGGUGAAAUCCCCGGGCUCAACCUGGGAACUGCCUUUGUGACUGCAAGGCUGGAGUGCGGCAGAGGGGGAUGGAAUUCCGCGUGUAGCAGUGAAAUGCGUAGAUAUGCGGAGGAACACCGAUGGCGAAGGCAAUCCCCUGGGCCUGCACUGACGCUCAUGCACGAAAGCGUGGGGAGCAAACAGGAUUAGAUACCCUGGUAGUCCACGCCCUAAACGAUGUCAACUGGUUGUUGGGAAUUCAUUUUCUCAGUAACGAAGCUAACGCGUGAAGUUGACCGCCUGGGAGUACGGCCGCAAGGCUAAAACUCAAAGGAAUUGACGGGGGCCC
rnacentral:rRNA from 1 species